rnacentral:rRNA from 1 species
ACCGCGGCCGCUUCCUGCAAGGAAGUGGGUUCCUAUCGGCCCACGGGUGAGUAAACGUGGGCAACCUGUCCUCUCGCGGGGGAUAACACCGAGAAAUCGGUGCUAAUACCGCAUGUCAUCGCUGGGGGCAUCUUCAGCGAAAAAAGCAUCAAUGCACGAGAGGGUGGGCCCGCGGCCUAUCAGCUAGUCGGUGGGGUAACGGCCUACCGAGGCUUUGACGGGUAGCUGGUCUGAUAGGACGAUCAGCCACAUGGGGACUGAGACACGGUCCCAACUCCUACGGGAGGCAGCAGUGAUGAAUCUUCCGCAAUGGGCGAAAUCCUGACGGAUCGACUCCGCGUGUGGGAUGAAGUCUCUCGGGAUGUAAACCACUGUCGGAUGGGAAGAGAAUGGACGGUACCCUCCAAGGAAGCCCCGGCUAACUACGUGCCAUCAGCCGCGGUAAU